AGAGUUUGAUCCUGGCUCAGGACGAACGCUGGCGGCACGCUUAACACAUGCAAGUCGAACGAGAGAAGAGGAGCUUGCUUUUCUGAUCUAGUGGCGGACGGGUGAGUAACACGUGAGCAAUCUGCCUUUCAGAGGGGGAUACCGAUUGGAAACGAUCGUUAAUACCGCAUAACAUAAUUGAACCGCAUGAUUUGAUUAUCAAAGAUUUAUCGCUGAAAGAUGAGCUCGCGUCUGAUUAGCUAGUUGGUAAGGUAACGGCUUACCAAGGCGACGAUCAGUAGCCGGACUGAGAGGUUGAUCAGCCACAUUGGGACUGAGACACGGCCCAGACUCCUACGGGAGGCAGCAGUGGGGAAUAUUGCACAAUGGAGGAAACUCUGAUGCAGCGAUGCCGCGUGAGGGAAGAAGGUUUUAGGAUUGUAAACCUCUGUCUUCAGGGACGAAAAAAGACGGUACCUGAGGAGGAAGCUCCGGCUAACUACGUGCCAGCAGCCGCGGUAAUACGUAGGGAGCGAGCGUUGUCCGGAAUUACUGGGUGUAAAGGGAGCGUAGGCGGGAUCGCAAGUCAGAUGUGAAAACUAUGGGCUUAACCCAUAAACUGCAUUUGAAACUGUGGUUCUUGAGUGAAGUAGAGGUAAGCGGAAUUCCUAGUGUAGCGGUGAAAUGCGUAGAUAUCAGGAGGAACAUCAGUGGCGAAGGCGGCUUACUGGGCUUUAACUGACGCUGAGGCUCGAAAGCGUGGGGAGCAAACAGGAUUAGAUACCCUGGUAGUCCACGCCGUAAACGAUGAUUACUAGGUGUGGGGGGACUGACCCCUUCCGUGCCGCAGCAAACGCAAUAAGUAAUCCACCUGGGGAGUACGACCGCAAGGUUGAAACUCAAAGGAAUUGACGGGGGCCCGCACAAGCAGUGGAGUAUGUGGAUUAAUUCGAAGCAACGCGAAGAACCUUACCAGGUCUUGACAUCGUAUGCAUAGCUCAGAGAUGAGUGAAAUCUCUUCGGAGACAUAUAGACAGGUGGUGCAUGGUUGUCGUCAGCUCGUGUCGUGAGAUGUUGGGUUAAGUCCCGCAACGAGCGCAACCCUUACUGCUAGUUGCUACGCAAGAGCACUCUAGCAGGACUGCCGUUGACAAAACGGAGGAAGGUGGGGAUGACGUCAAAUCAUCAUGCCCCUUAUGACCUGGGCCUCACACGUACUACAAUGGCUGUCAACAGAGGGAAGCAAAGCCGCGAGGUGGAGCGAACCCCUAAAAGCAGUCUUAGUUCGGAUUGUAGGCUGCAACCCGCCUACAUGAAGUCGGAAUUGCUAGUAAUCGCAGAUCAGCAUGCUGCGGUGAAUACGUUCCCGGGCCUUGUACACACCGCCCGUCACGCCAUGGGAGUCGGUAACACCCGAAGCCUGUAGUCUAACCGCAAGGAGGACGCAGUCGAAGGUGGGAUUGAUGACUGGGGUGAAGUCGUAACAAGGUA
rnacentral:rRNA from 1 species